AUGUCUGAGCUCAACUCUUUUUCUUUCUUUCUUUUUUUUUUUUUAGGGCUUAAAAUUUGAAUCCUCGGUGAACCAGAGGAAGCAAGAAUGAUGAAAUUUUCAGGAGUUUUAUUAGUGAUCUUGUGGCUUCAGUUAAUCUCGGUGAGCAGCCCACAGAACACAGUGGAGCAGAGUCCUGCAUCUCUGCCUGUCCCAGAGGGAGCCGUCGCCUCUCUCAGCUGCACUUACUCUGACAGUGCUUCUCUGUACUUCGCAUGGUACAGACAGUACCGUGGGAAAGGCCCUGAGUUUCUGCUGUCUGUAUAUCCUGAUAAAGACAAAGAGGAAGGAAAAUUUACAGCACAGGCCACUAAAGCCAACAAGCAUGUCUCCCUGCUUAUCAGAGACUCCGAGCCCAGCGACUCAGCCACCUACCUCUGUGCAGCGAGCACACAGUGCUCCCCCAGACACCGGCAGCCUGUGCCCAAACCUGCUGGGGCCCCAGCAGCGCCUCUUGGAGAGCUGAGGCUGCAGGGCGCACACAUCCUGUUACCUCUCCAGAUGUAA